UCUGCCUGGUAGUGGGGGACAACGUUUCGAAAGGAACGCUAAUACCGCAUACGUCCUACGGGAGAAAGCAGGGGACCUUCGGGCCUUGCGCUAUCAGAUGAGCCUAGGUCGGAUUAGCUAGUUGGUGAGGUAAUGGCUCACCAAGGCGACGAUCCGUAACUGGUCUGAGAGGAUGAUCAGUCACACUGGAACUGAGACACGGUCCAGACUCCUACGGGAGGCAGCAGUGGGGAAUAUUGGACAAUGGGCGAAAGCCUGAUCCAGCCAUGCCGCGUGUGUGAAGAAGGUCUUCGGAUUGUAAAGCACUUUAAGUUGGGAGGAAGGGCAUUAACCUAAUACGUUAGUGUUUUGACGUUACCGACAGAAUAAGCACCGGCUAACUCUGUGCCAGCAGCCGCGGUAAUACAGAGGGUGCAAGCGUUAAUCGGAAUUACUGGGCGUAAAGCGCGCGUAGGUGGUUUGUUAAGUUGGAUGUGAAAGCCCCGGGCUCAACCUGGGAACUGCAUCC
rnacentral:rRNA from 1 species